rnacentral:rRNA from 1 species
UACGUAGGUGGCAAGCGUUGUCCGGAAUUAUUGGGCGUAAAGGCGCGUAGGCGGUGCCACAAGUCACCUGUGAAUCUCCGGGCUUAACUCGGAGCCUGCAGGCGAAACUGUGGUGCUGGAGUGUGGGAGAGGUGCGUGGAAUUCCCGGUGUAGCGGUGAAAUGCGUUAGAUAUCGGGAGGAACACCUGUGGCGAAAGCGGCGCACUGGACCAUAACUGACGC